rnacentral:rRNA from 1 species
UGGGGAAUUUUGCACAAUGGGCGCAAGCCUGAUGCAGCGACGCCGCGUGAGGGAUGAAGGCCUUCGGGUUGUAAACCUUUUUCGCUCAUGGUCAAGCCGCAGCUUUGGGUUGUGGUGAGGGUAGUGGGUAAAGAAGCGCCGGCUAACUACGUGCCAGCAGCCGCGGUAAUACGUAGGGCGCGAGCGUUGUCCGGAAUUAUUGGGCGUAAAGGGCUUGUAGGCGGUUGGCCGCGUCUGCCGUGAAAUCCUCUGGCUUAACUGGGGGCGUGCGGUGGGUACGGGUUGACUUGAGUGCGGUAGGGGAGGCCGGAAUUCCUGGUGUAGCGGUGGAAUGCGCAGAUAUCAGGAGGAGCACCGGUGGCGAAGGCGGGUCUCUGGGCCGUUACUGACGCUGAGGAGCGAAAGCGUGGGGAGCGAACAGG